rnacentral:rRNA from 1 species
UACGUAGGGGGCAAGCGUUGUCCGGAAUCAUUGGGCGUAAAGAGCGUGUAGGCGGUCCGGUAAGUCCGCUGUAAAAGUCAAGGGCUCAACCCUUGAAGGCCGGUGGAAACUGCCGGACUAGAGUCCGGAAGAGGCGAGUGGAAUUCCUGGUGUAGCGGUGAAAUGCGCAGAUAUCAGGAGGAACACCGAUGGCGAAGGCAGCUCGCUGGGACGGUACUGACGCUGAGACGCGAAAGCGUGGGGAGCAAACAGG